GCUAGAAGAUGACGAGCGGCGGACGGGUGAGUAAUGCUUGGGAAUAUGCCUUUACGUGGGGGACAACAGUUGGAAACGACUGCUAAUACCGCAUAAUGUCUUCGGACCAAAGGAGGGGAUGCUUCGGAACCUUUCGCGUAAAGAUUAGCCCAAGUGGGAUUAGCUAGUUGGUAAGGUAAUGGCUUACCAAGGCGACGAUCCCUAGCUGGUUUGAGAGGAUGAUCAGCCACACUGGGACUGAGACACGGCCCAGACUCCUACGGGAGGCAGCAGUGGGGAAUAUUGCACAAUGGGCGAAAGCCUGAUGCAGCCAUGCCGCGUGUGUGAAGAAGGCCUUCGGGUUGUAAAGCACUUUCAGUCGUGAGGAAGGGGUAGUAAUUAAUACUUGCUAUCUUUGACGUUAGCGACAGAAGAAGGACCGGCUAACUCCGUGCCAGCAGCCGCGGUAAUACGGAGGGUCCGAGCGUUAAUCGGAAUUACUGGGCGUAAAGCGUACGCAGGCGGCUUGUUAAGCCAGAUGUGAAAUCCCCGGGCUCAACCUGGGAAUGGCAUUUGGAACUGGCAAGCUAGAGUUUUGUAGAGGGUGGUAGAAUUUCAGGUGUAGCGGUGAGAUGCGUAGAGAUCUG
rnacentral:rRNA from 1 species